rnacentral:snRNA from 1 species
GUGCUCACUUCGACAGCACAUACACUAAAAUUGGAAUGAUACAGAGAUUAGCAUGGUCCCUGCACAAGGAUGACAUGCAAAUUCAUGAAGCAUUCCAUAUUUUU